AGGAUAAACGCUGGCGGCGUGCCUAACACAUGCAAGUCGAACGCGCUUUCGGGCUUCGGUGCGAGAGCGAGUGGCGGACGGGUGAGUAACACAUGGGUACCUACCUUGGAGUGAGGGAUACCGGCGAGAAAUCGCCGACAAUACCGCAUAGGCUUCUUCACAAGGGAAGCAAAGUGACGCGAGUCACGCUUUGAGAUGGGCCUGUGGCCGAUUAGCUAGUUGGGGGGGUAACGGCUUCCCAAGGCGACGAUCGGUAGCUGGUCUGAGAGGACGAUCAGCCACACUGGGAUUGAGAACGGCCCAGACUCCUACGGGGGGCAGCAGUGAGGAAUUUUCCGCAAUGGAGGCAACUCUGACGGAGCAACGCCGCGUGCAGGAGGAAGGUUUUCGGAUCGUAAACUGCUUUUCUCGGGGACGAGCAAGGACGGUACCCGAGGAACGAAGCCCCGGCUAACUACGCGCCAGCAGCCGC
rnacentral:rRNA from 1 species